rnacentral:rRNA from 1 species
GACGAACGCUGGCGGCGUGCUUAACACAUGCAAGUCGAGCGGUAAGGCCCUUUCGGGGGUACACGAGCGGCGAACGGGUGAGUAACACGUGGGUGACCUGCCCUCAGCUCUGGGAUAAGCCUGGGAAACCGGGUCUAAUACUGGAUAUGACUCCAUGACGCAUGUUGUGGGGUGGAAAGCCUUGUGCGGCUGAGGAUGGGCCCGCGGCCUAUCAGCUUGUUGGUGGGGUGANGGCCUACCAAGGCGACGACGGGUAGCCGGCCUGAGAGGGCGACCGGCCACACUGGGACUGAGACACGGCCCAGACUCCUACGGGAGGCAGCAGUGGGGAAUCUUGCGCAAUGGGCGAAAGCCUGACGCAGCGAUGCCGCGUGAGGGAUGACGGCCU